rnacentral:lncRNA from 1 species
CAGACUUGAUCCCCAGGAACUUCUGCAUGCUGUGGGUGUGGCCAAAAACAGAUAAGAACAUUAAAGUUGGUAAUAGGAACACUGCUUACUUACCUCAGUUUAGAGAGAUGCCCCAAGCCUCUGAGUCAUUCAGUCACUCAACAAACAUCACUGAGCACUGACUGUGUGUGAGAACUGUGCUGGAGGCCAGGGGUUCAAAGACAAAAAGAACACUCUUCCUGCCCCUGAGUAUGUGUCAUCAGAUCACGAGGCCCACAUACAAACGACCAUCCAAGCUCAGUGUGGGAAAUGUUGUAAUUGAGCUACAUGCAGACUGUGUAUUUUUCUAUAGAGUAGCAGUUUUCACCCUGUGUUCUUCCUUCUUUUUUUUUUUUUUUUGCUUUUUAUGGGCCCACCCUCAGCAUAUGGAGGUUCCCAGGCCAGUGGUGGAAUUGGAGCUACAUCUGCCAGCCUACGCCACAGCCCUAGCAACAAAGGAUCUGAACCGCCUCUGUGACCUACAUGACAGUCAUGGCAACGCCAGAACCCUAACCCACUGAGCGAGGCCAGGGAUCGAACCUGCAACCUCAUGGUUCCUACUCGGAUUUGUUUCCCCUUCACCACAAGGGCAACUGCUCACCCUGUGUUCUAUUUGCCUGUUACUCGUGAGUUCUUGAGGACCAAGAAUGGUGUUGGAUGUGGAUAUGGAUACAGAUAGGGAAGGAAUGGAGAGAAAAGAUAUUUGUUACCAAUGCCAAGCCUAUCUUACAAGGGGUCCCAUAAUGAGCCUAUAACUUACAGCUUUUAACUUUCCUGAAAAAUGUUUUAGUUACUAAAGAUUAAUAGGAAGGAGUUCUCCUGUGGUGCAGCGGCUUAAGGAUUGGAUGUGAUCACUGCAGCGGCUCGGGUUGCUGCUGCUGCUGUGGCACCGGUUCAAUCCCUGGCCCAGGAACUUCCAUAUGCCAUGGGCGCAGCCAAAAAAAAAAAAAAGUCUAAUAGGAAAUGGUCAUGGGUGGAGCUAUCUGGGAAAUAAUGGAUUUUGCAUUCUUGCUCAUUGCAAAAUGCCUGAUUAGCUUUUUUAGGAUUCUGUUAGUUUAAGUCAUAUGAAAUCCUCAUUUUGUAGGUACUUUCAUAUGGUUCAACUUAAUAAAACGAGACCAAUUUUAUGGCCUUCUGGUCUUCUGUAGGUUUAGGACAUCCACAGAGGUGAGUCUGGGCAGAUCGAGGGAAUCCUAAGCUUGUUGCCACUAGGGUUCCCCUCUCUGAGUGUGAGUCUCUCUUUGGGGCUUCAGAGAGGAAGCCGGUGCCUCAACCAUUCCUGUGACACUCGGUUCUGGAGCGGAGUUCCUCCGGGCAGUGCCUUCUUGAAGACUGGACAGGGAAUAAAACUGCUGCUCUGUGCCCACUUAAAAAUAUUUUUGUUUACCUUGGAAGAUAUGCAAGAACAGGGUUUCAUGCAUAUAUAAGAGAAAACAGCAAGUGAAAAGGAUGUGUACACAUGGGCAUGAAUGGCUCGCUAUUCUUAGCUGGGCUCUAACCUAGAGAAGAAGAGGAAACAAGAUGCUUUUAAAUGUGGACUCCGGCUGCCCCAGCCGAGAGCCAAGGGGCUUCGAGUCAUAGAGAAACUCCUGGUAGCUGCUAGUGUCCUCCAGACCUUCCUCUUUUGGUAGAAAAGAUUACACUUGUGUGUCCCACGCUGAGAUGGAGGAGGGGAUGGCUUUUUCUUUGAAGGGACCUAGAGAGAAAGGAGAGAAAGACUUGGGAACCUGUCCUACUUCUCAGAGGGACGAUCUGCAUCUACGUGGUAGAUGGACCAGCGCUUCCUGCUCUGAGUGGUUUAGUCUUUGAGAAAGAGGCUCAGGGGCUGCCUCGGCUGCCUGGAUUAAACCUGCUGCAGGAACUGAGGUCUUCCUUGAUUUGUUGUUCCGUCUCUCAUGUUGGGGUCGAACCCGAUUGGCCUUUGCAAAUUAAAGACUGACUAGAAAUGCCUGACGCAUGCUAAAGCCACAGUGCCUGCUGGCUACUUUCUGGUCACUCAGUGACUACCAGUUGAUUUGAAUAUAUCAGGGUCUGGAAACUGGACCAGUCACCCAGCUUCCCUGUCUGAAGGUGUGAUUGGUAGGGAGGAAUGCUUCCAGGCAGCAUUUUCCUGGAUUCGGGUUUGGAUGGUAUUAGCCAGGAUCUGUGUGGUCACUGUCGCUCCCUCUGAAUGAUCAUUAUUAUAAGCAUACUUUGAUUGGGCUCCAGCCCUUACCCAGUGCUUAUAACCUAAUAUUGACAACAGCUACAAGUCAACCAAGAGCACGUCUUUAUUUAGAACCUGAUAUGAAAUGCAAGGAGGAUUUCUGCAAGGAGAGCCUGAAAUUAUGACAUUACCUCCAAACCAACUCUCAGAAAGGGAUCGGGCCUGGAGAGAAACCAUUCCACUUCCUCAUUUCCCUAAAUGGAACACACAAAAAAAAGUCUCAUUUCCUUUCUUUCUUUUUUUGCUCAGAACACCAAGGCCAUUUAGCCACCCCAAAGGUUAUUAUGGCCAGGUCACCCCUCUUGAAAGAAAGAAAAUUUUCCCUCCUUUAGAGAGAUGCACAGGAACCUCAGGGUCUGCUUUUAUCUCUCUCCUGAUCGGAUUAAGAUUCGUGUGAGAUGAGUGUGAGGGAAAGCCCGGCUGGAGACUUUGACAACUGGUUCACAGCAUGCUUCUGUUUGUGGUAACUCUGUGCGUUGACUCGCUGAGGUCCCCGAAUUUUCCAGCUGUCACACUAUGCCACUGCCACAGGCUAGCCUUCGUAGAUAAAACAAGUGCCAGUUAGCAUGUCUGAUGGGGGGAGGAGAGGAGAGAACAGAAUUGUAAGCUUCUCCAUGAAAGUGGUGACCCUGUCAGCACCAGGCCUUGGAGACCUAGCUUGGAAGAGUGUGGAGGUUCCUGCCAAGGGUCCCUGUGGAGACCUCACCAUCUCAGUGCUGAGUUUAAGGAGUCCCGCAGGCUUCAGGUAAAGUCAUUUCCAGCGGAUUGUGAGAAUGUGCCCAGCUUGGUUUGGACUGUGUCGCAUUUACUUUUGCUGGCUUAUCUCCACUACUGAAUUUUUUUGCAUGACUUCCCCCCCCCACUUGCUACUGAUGACCCUAGUGUCCAUGAGGACGCGAGUUCGGUCCCUGGCCUCGCUCAGUAGGUUAAGGAUCUGGCGUUGCCGCGAGCUGUGAUGUAGGUCGCUGGUGCAGUUUGGAUCUGGCAUUGCUGUGGCUGUGGUGUAGGCCGGAAGCCACAGCUCCCAUUCGACCCCUAGCCUGGGAACUUCUAUAUGCCGCGGAUGGGGCCCUAAAAAGACCAAAAAAAUAAAAAA